rnacentral:rRNA from 1 species
UUAAAUAGCCGCAGUAUUUUAACUGUGCAAAGGUAGCAUAAUAAUUAGUCUUUUAAUUGAGGUCUGGAAUGAAUGGUUAGACGAGAAAUAUACUUUAUUAGUGAAAUUUUUUUGAACUUGUUUUUUAAGUUAAAAAUCUUAAAUUUUUUAGAGGGACGAUAAGACCCUAUAGAUCUUUAAAAUUUUAAAUUUUUUUCUUUUUUUGUUGUUUUUGAGGUUAAUUUUUUUUUAUUUUUUAGUUGGGGUGAUAGACAAAAUUUUGAACUUUGUUUUUUUUUUACAUUUAUUUAUGUUUUUUUUGAUCCUUUUUUUUGAUUAAAAGAUAAAGAUACCUUAGGGAUAACAGCGUUAUUUAUUCGGAGAGUUCUAAUCGAUGAGUGAGUUUGCGAC